CCCUGUAAUUGGAAUGAGUACACUUUAAAUCCUUUAACAAGGACCUAUUGGAGGGCAAGUCUGGUGCCAGCAGCCGCGGUAACUCCAGCUCCAAUAGCGUAUAUUAAAGUUGUUGCGGUUAAAACGUUCGUAGUUGAACUUGUGCUUCAUACGGGUAGUACGACUAUAAUUGUAGUUUGUACUGUACCUUAUGUAUGUAAGCGUAUUACCGGUGGAGUUCUUAUAUGUAUUAAAUACUUGUAUUUGUACAUAUUCCUCCUAUUUAAACCUGCUUCAGUGCUCUUCAUCGAGUGUUGUUGUGGGCCGGUACAAUUACUUUGAACAAAUUAGAGUGCUUAAAGCAGGCUCCAAAUGCCUGAAUAUUUUGUGCAUGGAAUAAUGAAAUAAGACCUCUGUUCUACUUUCAUUGGUUUUUAGAUCAAGAGGUAAUGAUUAAUAGAAGCAGUUUGGGGGCAUUAGUAUUACGACGCGAGAGGUGAAAUUCUUGGACCGUCGUAAGACUAACUUAAGCGAAAGCAUUUGCCAAAGAUGUUUUCAUUAAUCAAGAACGAAAGUUAGAGGUUCGAAGGCGAUCAGAUACCGCCCUAGUUCUAACCAUAAACGAUGCCAGCUAGCAAUUGGGUGUAGCUACUAUCAUGGCUCUCUCAGUCGCUUCCCGGGAAACCAAAGCUUUUGGGCUCCGGGGGAAGUAUGGUUGCAAAGCUGAAACUUAAAGGAAUUGACGGAAGGGCACCACCAGGAGUGGAGCCUGCGGCUUAAUUUGACUCAACACGGGAAAAC
rnacentral:rRNA from 1 species